CAGCAGGAUGGAGAGGUGGGAGCGAGGUUGGGCUGGGUGGCUGCUCGUGCGAGAGGGUAGUUUAGUCGGUGCUGGAACGCGGGCAGAACUGCCCAGCAUUAGUCAGGGAAGUGCUGGAUUUGGAGCGUGUCCUGAAGACGGUGUGUGCGGCCAGCUGUGCCUGAGCUCCUGGGUAGAUCCCGUAUUCUUUCCAAGAACCUGGUGCAGAGCAUGGAGGUCUCCUAAAGCAACAGGGCCCAUCCUAUAAUGAUUUAAAUCAUCUGUUCAGAAGAAAUAUUAAUGGGACUCCCAUAAGACUCCUGACAGUUUGAUGUUCCUGCUAGAAGACCUAUUACCUCAUUUUGAAAACACUAAUAAAAGCACCAGUAUUCAA